rnacentral:rRNA from 1 species
GCAGGCCUAACACAUGCAAGUCGAACGAACUCUUCGGAGUUAGUGGCGGACGGGUGAGUAACACGUGGGAACGUGCCUUUAGGUUCGGAAUAACUCAGGGAAACUUGUGCUAAUACCGAAGGUGCCCUUCGGGGGAAAGAUUUAUCGCCUUUAGAGCGGCCCGCGUCUGAUUAGCUAGUUGGUGAGGUAAAGGCUCACCAAGGCGACGAUCAGUAGCUGGUCUGAGAGGAUGAUCAGCCACAUUGGGACUGAGACACGGCCCAAACUCCUACGGGAGGCAGCAGUGGGGAAUCUUGCGCAAUGGGCGAAAGCCUGACGCAGCCAUGCCGCGUGAAUGAUGAAGGUCUUAGGAUUGUAAAAUUCUUUCACCGGGGACGAUAAUGACGGUACCCGGAGAAGAAGCCCCGGCUAACUUCGUGCCAGCAGCCGCGGUAAUACGAAGGGGGCUAGCGUUGCUCGGAAUUACUGGGCGUAAAGGGAGCGUAGGCGGACAUUUAAGUCAGGGGUGAAAUCCCGGGGCUCAACCUCGGAAUUGCCUUUGAUACUGGGUGUCUUGAGUAUGAGAGAGGUGUGUGGAACUCCGAGUGUAGAGGUGAAAUUCGUAGAUAUUCGGAAGAACACCAGUGGCGAAGGCGACACACUGGCUCAUUACUGACGCUGAGGCUCGAAAGCGUGGGGAGCAAACAGGAUUAGAUACCCUGGUAGUCCACGCCGUAAACGAUGAUUGCUAGUUGUCGGGAUGCAUGCAUUUCGGUGACGCAGCUAACGCAUUAAGCAAUCCGCCUGGGGAGUACGGUCGCAAGAUUAAAACUCAAAGGAAUUGACGGGGGCCCGCACAAGCGGUGGAGCAUGUGG